rnacentral:lncRNA from 1 species
GCCUAAUUUAAAAAAGAAGAAGAUCUCUGGUACAAGAAGGUGAAGAAUGCAAUCCAACCACAGAGCUUCUAAGGAACAUUUUCUUGCUGAGAAGCACCAGCCUGAAGAGACACAAAAUUCAUGAUAGCCUUGAGAGACA